rnacentral:rRNA from 1 species
UACAGAGGAUGCAAGCGUUAUCCGGAAUGAUUGGGCGUAAAGCGUCUGUAGGUGGCUUUUUAAGUCCGCCGUCAAAUCCCAGGGCUCAACUCUGGACAGGCGGUGGAAACUACCAAGCUGGAGUACGGUAGGGGCAGAGGGAAUUUCCGGUGGAGCGGUGAAAUGCGUAGAUAUCUGGAGGAACACCGGUGGCGAAGGCGGCAUCCUGGACCGAAAUUGACGCUGAGGCGCGAAAGCCAGGGGAGCAAACGGG